rnacentral:rRNA from 1 species
AACGAACGCUGGCGGCAGGCUUAACACAUGCAAGUCGAACGCCCCGCAAGGGGAGUGGCAGACGGGUGAGUAACGCGUGGGAAUCUACCUAGUUCUACGGAACAACAGAGGGAAACUUCUGCUGAUACCGUAUACGCCCUAAGGGGGAAAGAUUUAUCGGAAUUAGAUGAGCCCGCGUAAGAUUAGCUAGUUGGUGGGGUAAUGGCCUACCAAGGCGACGAUCUUUAGCUGGUCUGAGAGGAUGAUCAGCCACACUGGGACUGAGACACGGCCCAGACUCCUACGGGAGGCAGCAGUGGGGAAUAUUGGACAAUGGGCGCAAGCCUGAUCCAGCCAUGCCGCGUGAGUGAUGAAGGCCUUAGGGUUGUAAAGCUCUUUCAGUGGGGACGAUAAUGACGGUACCCACAGAAGAAGCCCCGGCUAACUUCGUGCCAGCAGCCGCAGUAAGAC